rnacentral:rRNA from 1 species
GACAGAGGUGCCAAGCGUUAGGCGGAAUCACUGGGCUUAAAGCGUGUGUAGGCGGACCUGUAAGUGCCUUGUGAAAUCCCGCGGCUCAACCGCGGAACCGCUGGGCAUACUGCGGGUCUUGAGCUGUCUAGAGGCAACCGGAACAAACGGUGGAGCGGUGAAAUGCGUAGAUAUCAUUUGGAACGCCAAUGGUGAAAACAGGUAGCUGGGGCUGUGCUGACACUGAGACACGAAAGCCAGGGGAGCAAACGGG